rnacentral:SRP_RNA from 1 species
AAUAUAAGGCAAUGAUGGAUUCACGAACCGAGUCAGGACCGGAAGGUAGCAGCUAUAAGUGAUGAAGUCAUGUGCCUAUUUUUUU